GUAGAUAUGUAUAGGGGGAAGGAGACAGGGAUACUGGAGUGAUGGAGGUAGAUAUGUAUAGGGGACAGGGAUACUGGAGUGAUGGAGGUAGAUAUGUAUAAGGGACAGGGAUACUGGAGUGAUGGAGGUAGAUAUGUAUAGGGGGAAGGGGACAGGGAUACUGGAGUGAUGGAGGUAGAUAUGUAUAGGUGGAAGGGGACAGGGAUACUGGAGUGAUGGAGGUAGAUAUGUAUAGGGGGAAGGGGACAGGGAUACUGGAGUGAUGGAGGUAGAUAUGUAUAGGGGGAAGGAGACAGGGAUACUGGAGUGAUGGAGGUAGAUAUGUAUAGGGGACAGGGAUACUGGAGUGAUGGAGGUAGAUAUGUAUAGGGGACAGGGAUACUGGAGUGAUGGAGGUAGAUAUGUAUAGGGGAAGGAGACAGGGAUACUGGAGUGAUGGAGGUAGAUAUGUAUAGGGGGAAGGAGACAGGGAUACUGGAGUGAUGGAGGUAGAUAUGUA
rnacentral:lncRNA from 1 species